rnacentral:rRNA from 1 species
GGGGGGCCUGCGGAGGGAUCAUUG